rnacentral:rRNA from 1 species
UACGUAGGGGGCAAGCGUUGUCCGGAUUUAUUGGGCGUAAAGAGCGUGUAGGCGGCCUGACAGGUCUGCUGUGAAAACUCGAGGCUCAACCUCGAGAUGUCGGCGGAAACCGUCUGGCUAGAGUCCGGAAGAGGAGAGUGGAAUUCCUGGUGUAGCGGUGAAAUGCGCAGAUAUCAGGAAGAACACCCGUGGCGAAGGCGGCUCUCUGGGACAGUACUGACGCUGAGACGCGAAAGCGUGGGGAGCGAACAGG